GAACGCUGGCGGCGUGCCUAAUACAUGCAAGUCGAGCGAACAGACGAGGAGCUUGCUCCUCUGACGUUAGCGGCGGACGGGUGAGUAACACGUGGAUAACCUACCUAUAAGACUGGGAUAACUUCGGGAAACCGGGGCUAAUACCGGAUAAUAUAUUGAACCGCAUGGUUCAAUAGUGAAAGACGGUUUUGCUGUCACUUAUAGAUGGAUCCGCGCCGCAUUAGCUAGUUGGUAAGGUAACGGCUUACCAAGGCAACGAUGCGUAGCCGACCUGAGAGGGUGAUCGGCCACACUGGAACUGAGACACGGUCCAGACUCCUACGGGAGGCAGCAGUAGGGAAUCUUCCGCAAUGGGCGAAAGCCUGACGGAGCAACGCCGCGUGAGUGAUGAAGGUCUUCGGAUCGUAAAACUCUGUUAUUAGGGAAGAACAAAUGUGUAAGUAACUAUGCACGUCUUGACGGUACCUAAUCAGAAAGCCACGGCUAACUACGUG
rnacentral:rRNA from 1 species